GGAACAAAGGGAGUGUAGGGAGCGCGCGCGGCGUCGCUCCGCCCUGGACGUGCGGCGCGAGGGCGGGCGGUGGCGGUUGGGCUCCGCCCUGCGGCCGGGCCUGGAGCUGUGGCCUGUUGGUGUCCCGACGGACGCUGCCGGGGCUUGAGCUGCUGUCUCUUUCUCCGGAGUGCGGCCUGGUGGCUGUGUGAGGCCUUUCUGGUUCUGCCCGGCGGCGGUACCGCGGAGGGAAAGUGCUCAGGGCGGCUUUUGCCUUGUCCUCGGUGGGUGCAGGCUUGGUGCAAUAGUCUGUAGGAGAGCAGCUCAUUGGCAGCGGUGGUGUUUCUCCCAUGGAGCCUUCUCUCAUCCUGCAGCCCUAGAGCUGUGAGGAGAGCAGCCCUGGGCAGUCCUGUGCUUCCAGAGCACCCCUUCCAACAGCAAAAUGCUCCUCCUGAAAGCUGCAUGCACGUUAAGUGUGUGUGCUCCCAUCGUGAGCGUGGAUGCAGUUGUGUGCGUUGGCUGAUGGAUGUAAAAGCAGCUUUGUGAUCUAGAAGGUGAGGUCCAUCUCAGCUGCUGGAGGUCCUUGGUCUGCCAUGGGUGGAAAACCGGGUUCAGUUCUGGGCUCCCCAGUUCCAAAAAGAUGAGGAUCUUCUGGAAAUGGUCCAGUGGAGGGUGACAAAAGAUGAUUAACGACCUGGAGCCUCUGCAGUGUGAGGAAAGGCUAAGAGCCCUUGGAACACUCAGUCUGAGAAGAGAAGGCUGAGAGGGGCUUAUGGCUGUUCAUAAAUCUCUACAAUGCAGGAGUCAAGUCAACGGGGACAGACUCUUCCCACUGGCAUGCAGCAACAGAACAAAGGGCAAUGGGCAGAAACUGGAACACAAGUACUAACACAAAGAAGAACUUCUGUACAGAGUGACAGAGCUGGAAGAAGCCGCCCAAAGAGGUGGAGUGGACCAGUUGCCUUCACUGGACGUAUUCAAGACCCAUCUGGAUGCCUCUCUGUGUGACCUACUUUAGGGAAGCUGCUUUAGUGGGGAGGGUGGACUUCAGGAUCUCUGGAUGUCAUUUCCAACCCCUACAAUUCUGUGCCCUGCUGAGCCUGCUUGGUGAUCAUGGGUGGAGCUGCAGCUUUGCAUGUGAGCUCUGUGCUGCUCCGUCUCUCCCAUUACCAGUCUUGACUGUGGGGUCUCUCACGGCAUAGAGCUGCAAGGAGUACAAUUACUGCCUCAUCCAUUUAAGUUGAUCAGCAGUUCAUCUGACUGGGAAUCAGUAAUAUGCUUAAGGAAUUGUCACAGCACAAAAAUAAAGGGGAAUUGAGGGAUCUGAA